rnacentral:rRNA from 1 species
GACGAACGCUGGCGGCGUGCUUAACACAUGCAAGUCGAACGAUGAACCCGGAGCUUGCUCCGGUGGAUUAGUGGCGAACGGGUGAGUAACACGUGAGUAACCUGCCCUUGACUCUGGGAUAACUGCGGGAAACUGUAGCUAAUACCGGAUACGACCCUCGGCGGCAUCGCCAGGGGGUGGAAAGAAUUUCGGGCAAGGAUGGACUCGCGGCCUAUCAGCUAGUUGGUGAGGUAACGGCUCACCAAGGCGACGAGGGGUAGCCGGCCUGAGAGGGGGAGGGGCCACACUGGGACUGAGGCACGGCCCAGCAUCCUACGGGAGGCAGCAGUGGGUAAUAUUGCACAAUGGGCGCAAGCCUGAUGCAGCAACGCCGCGUGAGGGAUGACGGCCUUCGGGUUGUAAACCUCUUUUAGUAGGGAAGAAGCGAAAGUGACGGUACCUGCAGAAUAAGCACCGGCUAACUACGUGCCAGCCGCCGCAGUAA